rnacentral:misc_RNA from 1 species
CAGCCGCGUAAUUCCAGCUCCAAUAGCGUAUAUUAAAGUUGUUGCAGUUAAAAAGCUCGUAGUUGAAUUUCGGGAUCAAGGGAUCGGUCAUGCCUUGGUAUGUACUGGUUUUAUUGGUUCUCACCUUCUAAAGAACCAUAAUGUCAUUUAUUUGAUGUUAUGGGGAAUUAGGACUGUUACCUUGAAAAAAUUAGAGUGUUUAAAGCAAGCUUACGCUUGAAUACAUUAGCAUGGAAUAAUGAAAUAGGACAUCAGAUUCUAUUUUGUUGGUUUCUAGGAUCGAUGUAAUGAUUAAUAGGGAUAGUUGGGGGCAUUAGUAUUCAAUUGUCAGAGGUGAAAUUCUUGGAUUUAUUGAAGACUAACUACUGCGAAAGCAUUUGCCAAGGAUGUUUUCAUUAAUCAAGAACGAAAGUUAGGGGAUCGAAGACGAUCAGAUACCGUCGUAGUCUUAACCAUAAACUAUGCCGACUAGGGAUCGGAUGAUGUUAAUUUUUUAAUGACUCAUUCGGCACCUUACG